rnacentral:tRNA from 1 species
GGGUUGAUAGCUCAGUUGGUAGAGCAAGCGACUGAAAAUCGCUGUGUCGCUGGUUCAAUUCCAGCUCUUCCCACCA